GUUUCUAUUUCGUUUCGCACUUAACAGGUACCCGCGUAUCCAUGCUUAAUUUUGCAUUUUCAGAGAAUUGAUGUGCUGUAGAGGUUACACGUGGGACAACCAGACAAAAACAUGCGUUGAUUGCCUGUAUCCAUAUUAUGGGCCAGAUUGUAUCUAUGUGUGUAAUUGCACUACGUCCGAAUGCAAUCGGUAUUACGGUUGUACAUUUGCAUCAAUAGGAACAG